ACGGUCGCGUAACACGUAAGCAACCUGCCCUGAAGUUGGGGAUAGCCCUCCGAAAGGAGGAUUAAUACCGAAUGUGAAUACUAAUUCGCAUGUUUUAGUAUUUAAAGCAGCAAUGCGCUUCAGGAUGGGCUUGCGGCCUAUCAGCUAGUUGGUGGGGUAAUGGCCUACCAAGGCGACGACGGGUAGCUGGUCUGAGAGGAUGGUCAGCCGGACUGGGACUGAGAUACGGCCCAGACUCCUACGGGGGGCAGCAAUUAGGAAUCUUGCGCAAUGGGCGAAAGCCUGACGCAGCGACGUCGCGUGACCGAUGAAGUCUUUCGGGAUGUAAAGGUCUUUUUUGGGGGAAGAAGGAUGUGACGGUACCCCAAGAAUAAGCCCCGGCUAACUACGUGCCAGCAGCCGCGGUAAUACGUAGGGGGCGAGCGUUGUCCGAAUUCACUGGGCGUAAAGCGCGCGUAGGCGGGUUAUUAAGUUGGAGGUGAAAUCCCGGGGCUCAACCCCGGAACUGCCCCCAAAACUGGUAGCCUUGAGGUAUGGAGAGGGAAGUGGAAUUCCAGGU
rnacentral:rRNA from 1 species